UUAAACUUUAUUCUGGGAACAAAUGAGAGGCUAGAAGGUAACACUGGGAGAAAGUUACUACUGGCCAGGCAGCAUUGUCAAAGGCCAUGAGAUUUGUCCAGCUCCUGAGGCCUUGUACUGCCGGCAUAACCCAAUCUGUGGAGAGCUUGUGAACCCUCUGUAAUAAAGCAACAAUUUCUUCCAGAAAUAAAUAAUGAGGCAAGAGCACUCCAUUAAGCUGGGGGUUAGAUCCCGAGAUAGUGUUUCUGUUUACCUAUUAACUAGCUAUGCAACUGUGAGAAAAUUGUCCUUUUAUGUAAGUUUCUUCCUCCUUCUCCUCCUCUUCUUCCUUCUCCUUUUCCCUUUCCCCCUUCUUCUUCCUCCUCCUUUUCUUGUUUUUAGUCCUGGGGUCUGAACCCAGGGUCUUCACACUGAACUACAUCCCAGCCCUUUUAAAUUUUUUAAAUAUUGAAACAAGGUCGGUCUCAUUUUGUUGCCCAGGCUGGACUUGACCUUCCUAUCCUUCUGUUUCAGCUGCUCAGAGUGCUGGGAUUACAGACGUAUCACUGGGCCAGGCAAAGUGCCCACUUAAUGGAAUUAGUUCUGGAUUUCAGUUUUGAUGGUGAAACAGUGAUUCCUGACAUGACUCUCCCCUUGGAUGCCCCCUGAUGGCCUGCUCCAGAAAAUAAAGUUCACUUGUCAAAUAGUAUGUUGUGUUACUCCGGCAGCAGUCUCACAUAUUUCGUGACUCUUGAUUGCAUUAAGAGGCCACAUGGAAUGAUUUAUUCAUAGCAUCUAGGUUGUUGUUGAGGGCUGUUGAAGUUGGAAAUUGAGCACAUGUUCAGAGCUGCACUAUGGCCAGGGACAUGGCUGACCUGAGAACAAAGAGAUGCUUCAAAGGGCAAGAUAAGGCCACAGCUGAGGACACUUGGCUCCAACCCCAAUUAACAAGACAGAGACUGCAGCCGCUGGCAUCUGACUCCUGCUAUUUCCUACUGCAAAUGUCGUGGAGAUAAAACAAUUUUUUUAAAUUAGCAUAGAAUACUACUUGUAGAAGUAAUUGAGGUGAUUCUCCAGGUCCUGCUCAGAUCCUGCCCUUUAUUUAGUAUCCCAUCUCCUUUUCUUUGAAGACCUAAUAAAUAUGGGCCAUCCAGAGAAGCUCUUCGUUCCAGCCCUCAGAAUCUCAAACUCUGCAGAGGGU